GGAUAAUUGUUGCUUUUGGUCCCUCAUCGCCUCACACCCGAUUAAAGAUUCACAUAUCUAAAACUUGAACAUGACACAUGAUGACACAAGAGAAUUUGAUCACCGAGUUCCCGGCCUCUAACCCGUACGUCUCGGGUGGGAAUUGUCUCCCACAACUUCCACUAUAUGAAGAGGUUACACACACCACUAACUUGUGAUGUUCUUUGGUUUACAGAUUUUGGUACACAAGAGGAUACAAAAACAAGAACACAACAAAGAAGGAGAAAGCUUCUUGAAGAAGAACCCUUUUUUCUUCUCUUUCUCUAGAACUCUCUUUGAUGUCUUGUCUCUCACCUACCUCCACUUUAUUGAUCGAUGAAACACACUUAUACAUGUAUGCAUUGGGCCAAAUCAUUUCCAGAAUCUUAUUCUCCUUUCCUUAAUGCCAAUUUCGUCUGGCCCAUUAAGGCCCAUUUGUUUUGUGUUUGUCAAACCCAACAACAAUCUCCACCUUUUGACAAAACAAAACACUCAUCGACAACAAGAAAUCUGAAACCAACCUCUCCUCUUCUUCUGUUCGUGAAGCCAAACUUCAGCGAACCUCCUCCGACAAACUCCGCCUCCUUAUCCGGUGAGCAUCUCUCUUCUCCGGUGGCAACCAGUUUUUUUUUUUUCUUUCACCGAGCCCUCUCGUUCUCGACAUGGAGAAGAUGUAGCUUCUUACUUCCCCAUGGUAUAGCGGAAUUGGAGGCUAAUUCCGGUCAUCCCUGCAUGUUUUCCGGCGAAGCCAAGCUUCAGUCUCCACCUGUUUCACGGCGGCUCCCAAUUCCGGUGAAUCAAGAGACAUUAUCUCCAUAUCUCAACUUUGGUUCGAUGAACCAUGUAUCACCACCAUUCUCGCUGGCAAUCUCCUUCAGCUGCGAUCACUACCGGUGGAGCUCUUCUCUUUCCUCUUUGGUGAUUUAAUUUGUAGAACCCGAGACAUCAACUUUGUCUCUUAUCCAUGCCUCUUCUCCCGAGCUGUUCCGUUUUCACCCGCGAAUCACGCCAUCGCCGUCACCGUCCAGCUCAGGUACCCUCUAAUCUCUCUCUUGUCUCUUCCUGACACUUAGUGAUUAGGAUCUUCUGAGAAUUGCCAUUUUGAAUCCAUUUUAGGUGAUGAGCUCCACCUGGAACCAAUUACUCUCCAUCAUGGCUCCACAACCUUUUCCAGGUAACUCCUUCACAGCCCUGUCUCUUCCGAUUUCCAAAAGACUCAUGAAACUCUAACUUCAGUUUCAUGUCUACUCUCACAGCAGCUCUAGUGUUGAACAUCCCAUGUUCUUCUUUCUCCUUGAUGACUUCAAGUAAUCUCCUAACCAUGAAUCAUCUUCCUCUCUAGCUGCUGGAGUUUUCCCCCUUUGAGCCACCAAAAUCCUUACUUGGAUUUUCUGAAUUUUCAUCUCAGAAACUCCACUUGGAAUCAGUCUCCAACUCUCGACAACUGAUUCUCCAGUCUCCACAACUCCACCUGGAAUCUAAGUCUCUUCACAGUAAUACCAGAUGCCUACAGCGUAUAAUGUCGAUUGGGGUUACCUGGAGCUGUAUCUUCCUUCAGACGACAUUGAGGAGAUCAUAGCAGGCUUGUUUCCCUUCCUCACACUUCUGCAUUUUCCUUCCUUUGCAGCAACUCCGACGAUCUGUUUCGUCCUUUUUGCUGUUCCAAUGACUCCAGGUAAACAAUUGUACCUUGAA